rnacentral:rRNA from 1 species
AACGAACGCUGGCGGCAUGCCUAACACAUGCAAGUCGAACGAGACCUCCGGGUCUAGUGGCGCACGGGUUCGUAACGCGUGGGAACCUGCCCUUAGGUUCGGAAUAACUCUCCGAAAGGGGUGCUAAUACCGGAUAAUGUCUUCGGACCAAAGAUUUAUCGCCUUUGGAUGGGCCCGCGUUGGAUUAGCUGGUUGGUAGGGUAAAAGCCUACCAAGGCGACGAUCCAUAGCUGGUCUGAGAGGAUGAUCAGCCACACUGGGACUGAGACACGGCCCAGACUCCUACGGGAGGGAGCAGUGGGGAAUAUUGGACAAUGGGCGAAAGCCUGAUCCAGCAAUGCCGCGUGAGUGAUGAAGGCCUUAGGGUUGUAAAGCUCUUUUACCCGGGAUGAUAAUGACAGUACCGGGAGAAUAAGCUCCGGCUAACUCCGUG